GACAGAGGGUGCAAACGUUGCUCGGAAUCACUGGGCGUAAAGGGCGUGUAGGCGGGCAGGUAAGUCGGGCGUGAAAUCCCUGGGCUCAACCCAGGAACUGCACUCGAAACGUACUUCGUCUUGAGUGUCGGAGAGGAAAGCGGAAUUCCUGGUGUAGAGGUGAAAUUCGUAGAUAGUCAGGAGGACACCAGUGGCGAAGGCGG
rnacentral:rRNA from 1 species